UGGCGUCUCUCUGAACCCUCUCGACCAUCCGAGCUUCCGGACUUCUCCAACAAUGAGCUUCUCCAUUCAUCUAUCAGGCCGCUCUAAAGGCUCUCUAGGCUUCACUAUCAGCCAACCUUCUACAGUGAUCAACUAUUCUCCGAAUCCCUUCCAGACUUCUUCCGACUGCGGACGACCCUACUCCGAACUUCUUCCGGACUUCGUCAAUAUCCGAGCUUCUCCAAUGGCAAAAUUUUUAUAGUAACCAGACUCCAUCCAAGUUUCUACGAUGAUCGAUCACCUUUCAGAUUCCAACCAAGCCCCUG
rnacentral:lncRNA from 1 species